GGUAGUGUGGUGUAGAAGUUUGAGCAUCUGACUAUGAUUCUGGAGACCAGAGUUCAAAUCACUGCUCAUCCA